UACGAAGGGGGCUAGCGUUGUUCGGAAUUACUGGGCGUAAAGCGCACGUAGGCGGAUUAGUAAGUCAGGGGUGAAAUCCCGGGGCUCAACCUCGGAACUGCCUUUGAUACUGCUGAUCUCGAGUCCGGAAGAGGUGAGUGGAAUUCCUAGUGUAGAGGUGAAAUUCGUAGAGAUUAGGAAGAACACCAGUGGCGAAGGCGGCUCACUGGUCCGGUACUGACGAUGAGGUGCGAAAGAGUGGGGAGCAAACAGG
rnacentral:rRNA from 1 species